rnacentral:piRNA from 1 species
UGAUUAAAAUUAUACAUGCAAAGCUCAAGC